rnacentral:rRNA from 1 species
UACGAAGGGGGCUAGCGUUGCUCGGAAUCACUGGGCGUAAAGCGCACGUAGGCGGAUUGCUAAGUCAAGGGUGAAAUCCUGGAGCUCAACUCCAGAACUGCCUUUGAUACUGGCGAUCUUGAGUCCGGGAGAGGUGAGUGGAACUGCGAGUGUAGAGGUGAAAUUCGUAGAUAUUCGCAAGAACACCAGUGGCGAAGGCGGCUCACUGGCCCGGUACUGACGCUGAGGUGCGAAAGCGUGGGGAGCAAACAGG